UACGUAGGGUGCGAGCGUUGUCCGGAAUUAUUGGGCGUAAAGAGCUUGUAGGCGGUUUGUCGCGUCUGCUGUGAAAUCUCAAGGCUCAACCUUGAGCUUGCAGUGGGUACGGGCAGACUAGAGUGUGGUAGGGGAGACUGGAAUUCCUGGUGUAGCGGUGAAAUGCGCAGAUAUCGGGAGGAACACCGAUGGCGAAGGCAGGUCUCUGGGCCACUACUGACGCUGAGAAGCGAAAGCAUGGGGAGCGAACAGG
rnacentral:rRNA from 1 species